rnacentral:rRNA from 1 species
UAUUGCUCAAUGGGAGAAAUCCUGAAGCAGCAACGCCGCGUGGAGGAUGAAGGUUCUAUGACUUGUAAACUCCUGUAAAGAAGGAAAAAAUUCCCAUUUGCUGGGAGAUGAUGGUACUUCUGGAGUAAGCCCCGGCUAACUACGUGCCAGCAGCCGCGGUAAUACGUAGGGGGCAAGCGUUGUCCGGAUUUACUGGGUGUAAAGGGUGCUCAGGCGGAUUUGUAAGUCAGAGGUGAAAUCUUACAGCUUAACUGUGAAACUGCCUUUGAUACUGCAAGCCUAGGGUAUGGAAGAGAGUGAUGGAAUCGCUGGUGUAGCAGUGAAAUGCGUAGAUAUCAGAUAGAACACCAAUGGCGAAGGCAGUCACUUGGUCCAUUACUGACGCUAAAGCACGAAAGC